rnacentral:rRNA from 1 species
UACGGAGGGGGCUAGCGUUGUUCGGAAUUACUGGGCGUAAAGCGCACGUAGGCGGCUUUGUAAGUUAGAGGUGAAAGCCUGGAGCUCAACUCCAGAACUGCCUUUAAGACUGCAUCGCUUGAAUCCGGGAGAGGUGAGUGGAAUUCCGAGUGUAGAGGCGAAAUUCGUAGAUAUUCGGAAGAACACCAGUGGCGAAGGCGGCUCACUGGACCGGUAUUGACGCUGAGGCGCGAGAGCGUGGGGAGCAAACAGG